AGUGAACGCUGGCGGUAGGCCUAACACAUGCAAGUCGAACGGCAGCACAGGAGAGCUUGCUCUCUGGGUGGCGAGUGGCGGACGGGUGAGGAAUACAUCGGAAUCUACUCUGUCGUGGGGGAUAACGUAGGGAAACUUACGCUAAUACCGCAUACGACCUACGGGUGAAAGCAGGGGAUCUUCGGACCUUGCGCGAUUGAAUGAGCCGAUGUCGGAUUAGCUAGUUGGCGGGGUAAAGGCCCACCAAGGCGACGAUCCGUAGCUGGUCUGAGAGGAUGAUCGGCCACACUGGAACUGAGACACGGUCCAGACUCCUACGGGAGGCAGCAGUGGGGAAUAUUGGACAAUGGGCGCAAGCCUGAUUCAGCCAUACCGCGUGGGUGAAGAAGGCCUUCGGGUUGUAAAGCCCUUUUGUUGGGAAAGAAAUCCAGCUGGCUAAUACCCGGUUGGGAUGACGGUACCCAAAGAAUAAGCACCGGCUAACUUCGUGCCAGCCGCCGCCGUAA
rnacentral:rRNA from 1 species